AAAUUCUGAUUGAAUAUACUUAGGGUACGUUUGUUUGCACUCACUAGCAUUCACUAAACUGGAUUGGACUAAGUGGCAGUCUAGUCCCGUGUUUGAUACAAACUGGGACAAGUUUUAAUGAGACUCGCCCUAACUAAACGAGACUAAGCGCUUCACUAAAGGGUCUUAGCGAGACCCCCCCCCCGGAAAUCGGCCGGACUGCUAAGCCAACUCCUCCCUGCUUCGUCCAUCCUCGCUUUGCCCCUCCCAUCUACUUUUUCCUCACAAGAUUCGGAACCCAGGUCCCAUAUACAAAAUAUGCCCUGCUUCACCCCUCUCAUCUACCACUUCUAAACCCAGAUCCUGCAAAAUUCAAAACAAAAAAGACAAAAAAUUAGGCAAUAUUACCAUUUUGCAAAACCAGAUCCAAAUCCAAAAUUCUAAACCAAAAAAAAAAAAAAAAUUUACAAAAAUCUUUAGCUUCUGAAACGCACAGCAGUCGCUUUAAUCACAGUGCACCUAGUCCAAACUCCCUGAUCCCAAACCUUCGCCAUUGACGCUAGAGAAGUAAACCCAUUAAUACCCAGGUGACCCAGACUUUGAUUUGGGUUCUGAUUCGCUAAUUGGGUCCCAGAAAAAUUAGGAAGAAAAGAGGGAGAUGAAUGGAGAGAAAUAGGAAAAAAAAGAUGGAGAUGAAGAGGGAGAUGGAUGAAGAGAAAGAGGGAGAGG
rnacentral:lncRNA from 1 species